rnacentral:rRNA from 1 species
UACGUAGGGUGCGAGCGUUGUCCGGAAUUACUGGGCGUAAAGAGCUCGUAGGUGGUUUGUCGCGUUGUUCGUGAAAACUCACAGCUUAACUGUGGGCGUGCGGGCGAUACGGGCAGACUAGAGUUCGGCAGGGGAGACUGGAAUUCCUGGUGUAGCGGUGAAAUGCGCAGAUAUCAGGAGGAACACCGGUGGCGAAGGCGGGUCUCUGGGCCGAUACUGACGCUGAGGAGCGAAAGCGUGGGGAGCGAACAGG